rfam:Hordeum vulgare subsp. vulgare, WGS project CAJW01000000 data, contig: morex_contig_1581172
AUUAUACUUCCUCCGUCCCAAAAUUCUUGUUUUAGAUUUGUCUAGAUAUGAAUGUUCUAGUCAAGUUUUAGUAUCUAGAUACAUCUGUUUCUAGACAAACAUAAGAUAAAUUUUUUCGGACGGAGGAAGUACUGA